AGUGAACGCUGGCGGUAGGCCUAACACAUGCAAGUCGAACGGCAGCACAGGAGAGCUUGCUCUCUAGGUGGCGAGUGGCGGACGGGUGAGGAAUACAUCGGAAUCUGCCCAGUCGUGGGGGAUAACGUAGGGAAACUUACGCUAAUACCGCAUACGACCUUCGGGUGAAAGAGGGGGAUCGCAAGACCUCUCGCGAUUGGAUGAGCCGAUGUCGGAUUAACUAGUUAGCGGGGUAAUGGCCCACCAAGGCGACGAUCCGUAGCUGGUCUGAGAGGAUGAUCAGCCACACUGGAACUGAGACACGGUCCAGACUCCUACGGGAGGCAGCAGUGGGGAAUAUUGGACAAUGGGCGCAAGCCUGAUCCAGCCAUACCGCGUGGGUGAAGAAGGCCUUCGGGUUGUAAAGCCCUUUUGUUGGGAAAGAAAUCUUUCAGGCUAAUACCCUGGGAGGAUGACGGUACCCAAAGAAUAAGCACCGGCUAACUUCGUG
rnacentral:rRNA from 1 species